AAGUGGGGAUGACGUCAAAUCAUCAUGCCCCUUAUGACCUGGGCUACACACGUGCUACAAUGGUUGGUACAACGAGUUGCGAGUCGGUGACGGCGAGCUAAUCUCUUAAAGCCAAUCUCAGUUCGGAUUGUAGGCUGCAACUCGCCUACAUGAAGUCGGAAUCGCUAGUAAUCGCGGAUCAGCACGCCGCGGUGAAUACGUUCCCGGGCCUU
rnacentral:rRNA from 1 species